ACCGUAGUAACACUAGAGCUAAUACGUGCGUAUAAUCCCGACUUUUUGAAGGGACGUAUUUAUUAGAUUUAUGGCCAGCCGGGCUUGCCCGACCAGCGGUGAAUCAUGGUAACUUGACGGAUUGCAUGGCCUUUGUGCCGGCGACGUGUCAUUCAAGUUUCUGCCCCAUCAGGUGUCGACUGUAGUGUAUUGGACUACAGUGCCUAUAACGGGUAGCGGAGGAUUAGGGUUCGAUUCCGGAGAGGGAGCCUGAGAAACGGCUACCACAUCCAAGGAAGGCAGCAGGCGCGCAAAUUACCCAAUCCCAAUUCAGGGAGGUAGUGACAAGAAAUAGCAAUGCGGGGCUUACUGCUCUGCAAUUGGAAUGAGUACAAUUUAAAUCACUUAACGAGUAUCAAUUGGAGGGCAAGUCUGGUGCCAGCAGCCGCGGUAAUUCCAGCUCCAAUAGCGUAUAUGUAAGUUGUUGCGAUUAAAAAGCCCGUAGCUGAACCUCGGGCAGCCCUGAUGGUCCGCGUUUCGUGAGUACUGUCGUGGGCUGUCUUUCUGGCAAGACCGUAUCUCGGUGUUAAUUCACCGGGAACGGCGCUUGCCAAGGUUACUUUGAGUAAAAUAGAGUGUUCAAAGCAAGCUCGCGCUAUGAAUACACUAGCAUGGGAUAACACGACAUGACCGAUGGUCUAUCUUGUUGGCCUGUAGAUCUGUUGGUAAUGGCUAAUAGGGACGGUCGGGGGCAUUCGUAUUUCGCUGUCAGAGGUGAAAUUCUUGGAUUUGCGAAAGACGAACUACUGCGAAAGCAUUUGCCAAGGACGCUUUCAUUAGUCAAGGACGAAAGUCGGGGGAUCGAAGACGAUUAGAUACCGUCGUAGUCUCGACCAUAAA
rnacentral:rRNA from 1 species